rnacentral:pre_miRNA from 1 species
CGGGGGAGGCCGGAUCCUGGGCUGUGUCCCGGCGCCCUGUGCUCCCGGGGCCUGCGCUGUUGGAUUCACGCUCUCGCCCCGCAGCCCCCU